rnacentral:rRNA from 1 species
UUAUUGGAGAGUUUGAUCCUGGCUCAGGACGAACGCUGGCGGCGUGCCUAAUACAUGCAAGUCGAGCGAGUCCCUUCAGGGGCUAGCGGCGGACGGGUGAG